rnacentral:rRNA from 1 species
GACCCUUUUGACCUCAAAUCGGGUGAGACUACCC